CUCCAAGAUUCAUCUGAAGGUGUGAUCACAGCAUUAAUGUUGAGUGGACCACGAGCCCGUGCCAGAAGCAGCGUCCCAAGCUGGACCGAGGCAUCCCAGUACCCACUCCAAAGCAAAGGAGAAGGAAAAGAGAGAAACUAUUGUUAUCAUGGGUCUUGGUUGGCUUUCCUUUUGACUCCCACUGAAGUUGCUACUUAUUGCAGCCUUGCAAUUCCUGGACUUGAAAAGACCCAGUGGGGCUCCAGAGGAGUGCAGGGUGAGGAUUCUCGUGGAGACAGAUCUCAACCUCCUGCCGUCCCUUCUCAGGGUUUGCAUGUUUAAAGUGUGACGGUGGUCGUGGGGAAGAUAGAUCCAGAGGCAACAGCAACACAGAGGGAGAGAAAGGACAGGAAAGCCCUCGGCCUGCAGCAUGAGCAGAAUCCAGAAAGGAUUUCUGCAGGAGAGCUUUUCUGACCUAGUGUUGGAUCAGUGGACGCAGCCAUUGGAACUGUCAGAUCCCCUGACAUUACAGCGGGGCUGCCCUUCAGGCCGUGUUAGCCACUCACCUUUCCCCCUGGCUUUGCAUAAGGAGCAGAGAGUGUGCUGGCCAACAGGACCCCGCUGGUGCACCGAGGUCUCCACCUCCAAGAAAUCCAUGUCAGAGCAUCCCCGUUGCCUUCAUCGAGUCCUCAGACUUGAGCCUACAGCGAUGGACCAGGUGAGGACUGAAUGGAACAUUAUGGAGACAGCUCUUAGCUCAAUGUCCGACACCUGUAGGGUCUCAAAAUGAACCUCAUCUUUCGAAAAUAAUAAAGAAAUCUACGAAGUUAAUCUCUUUCCUCCUGUCCUAUCAUUACCCUUAAUAUCAUCAGAAGUGUCCCUAAAAUAUAAAUCAGAUUAUAUCAUUCCCCUGCUAUAUACUCGGUUGAAUAGUGUCCUCCUCAAAUUCAUGUCCAUGUGGAAUCUGUGACUAUGCCUUUACUUGGAAAUAGGGUCUUUUCCAAUGUAAUCAAAUUAAGAUUCAUCAUCAAGGAUGAGGGUGAGUCCUAAAUUUAAUAUGACCAGCGUCCCUGGACCAAAAGGGGCAUUUGGGCACACAGAGGAGAAGUUCAUGUGACCGAAGUAAAGACUGCCUACAAGCUUGGGUGCAUGCUAAGUCGCUCCAGCUGUGUCUGACUCUGCGACCUUAUGGACUGUAAUAGAGGCUAGGCUCCUCUGUCCAUGGGAUUUCCGAGGCAACAAUACUGGAGCGGGUUGCCAUGCCCUCCUCCAAGGAAUCUUCCUAACCAAGGGAUCAAACUCAAGGAACAUCAAAGAUCUGCAAGUCUAGGGAGAGGCUGGGGAGUCUUCCUCCCCUAGAGCAUAUGGCCCCGUGGACAGCUGGGUUUCAAACUUUAAGCCUUGAGAACUGUGAAAAGUAAUUCUGUUGUCUUAAGCCUCCCAGUUUCUUUGGUUUCUUCUUUAAUUUUUAAUUUUUGUAUUGGCAUAUAGCUGAUUAAUAAUGUUUGCAAUAGUUUCAGGUGGACAGCAAAAGGACUCAGCCAUACAUGUACAUGAAUCCAUUCUCUCCCAAAUUCCCCUCCCAUCCAGGCCGCCACAUGACAUUGAAGAGAGCUCCCUGCACUAGACAGUAGGUCCUUGUCGGUUGUCCACCUUAAAUACAGCAGAGUGUACGUGUCUAUCUCAUGUACUCUCUAACCACCCCUUCCUCCCACUCUUCUACCCUGGUCACCAUAAGUUCUUUCUCUACGUUUGUGAGUCUGUUUCUGUUUUGUAAAUAAGUUCAUUUCUAUCAUUUCUUUUUAGAUCUGCAUGUAAACAAUAUCAUACAAUAUUUCUCUUUGGCUCACUUCACUUAGUAUAAUAGUAUCUAGGUCCAUCCAUAUUGCUCCAAAUGGCAUUAUUUCAUUCUUUUUAAUGGCUGAGUAAUAUUCCAUUGGGUAUAUAUACCAGAUUCCCUUCAUCCUUUCCUCUGUCAAUGGACAUUUGGGUUUCUUCCAUGUCUUAAGCCUCCCCACUUGUGGUAUUUUGUUGCAGCAGCUCUUCCUAGAACUAUUAUAUGUGCUCAAAGUCCUACUGUGGCCCUCCCUGUCGUUAGAGUGAGGUCUAGAAUUACUGAUAUUGCUCACGCCUCCUACACCUGCUCCCGGGGAUCUGUCCAGCCUCCUCAUUGCUUAUCCUUCCCUCUGAGCUUAAUAUUCUUCAAUCUUUGCAAGCAGAUCUCCCUCUUAGCUGAAACCAUCUCUUAAAGACCAUUUGCUCAUCUCUUCUUGGGCAUGUUUUACUCUGUCUGGUCACGUGAUUAACUCCUGCAUAUCUUACAGAUAUCAGCUUAACCAUCCCUUCCCUAGAGGUCUUCAAAGACGUGCAGAGUGAUGUAAGCCCCUUCAUGUGCGGCCUCAAUGCUGGUCAACAAAUGUCUGAUUCCUGAUGUUGAAGGCUGUCUUUCCACCUAGACCCAGAGUCUGAGGAGCUCGGGGCUUGUUUUUUUUCUUGCUGAUAGCUGUAUUCUACAUCCCAACAUGAGGCCUGGCAUAGUGUGGGCCCAAGUGGUUAGUAUAAACUGAGUGAUUCAAUGAAUGAAUGAUGGAAUAAAUGGGUAUUUGGCAUGAGGUUAAAACUCUUACUAAGAUUUGGUGAGAUGUUGACAUGUUGCUGAUGGGGUCAGAGAUAAAAUAGGAGCUAAUUACAACUUGAAUUGAUUACUAUGAACUGAAACUGAUAGGGAUUUUUACUGUCUUCAUGAAGGAUAGACCCACAGUUCUUUCUUCCCCCCAUCUGAUUGUUCUCUUUUAGCUGAAAAUUAAUAUAUGUUCAUGGUAGAAAAUGAAAACAUUUCAGUGAACAGUAUGUUUUCUUCCCAUCUCAAAUUCAUGUCUCCUACAGCCUUCCCUAGAAGAAACAAUUAUUAUAAGUUACUACUAUUAAUAAAUUAUUAUCAAAGUAAUAAAUGUUCAAUGAAAAUA
rnacentral:lncRNA from 1 species